rnacentral:rRNA from 1 species
AGUGAACGCUGGCGGUAGGCCUAACACAUGCAAGUCGAACGGCAGCACAGGAGAGCUUGCUCUCUGGGUGGCGAGUGGCGGACGGGUGAGGAAUACAUCGGAAUCUACUCUGUCGUGGGGGAUAACGCAGGGAAACUUACGCUAAUACCGCAUACGACCCACGGGUGAAAGCAGGGGACCUUCGGGCCUUGCGCGAUUGAAUGAGCCGAUGUCGGAUUAGCAAGUUGGCGGGGUAAAGGCCCACCAAGGCGACGAUCCGUAGCUGGUCUGAGAGGAUGAUCAGCCACACUGGAACUGAGACACGGUCCAGACUCCUACGGGAGGCAGCAGUGGGGAAUAUUGGACAAUGGGCGCAAGCCUGAUCCAGCCAUACCGCGUGGGUGAAGAAGGCCUUCGGGUUGUAAAGCCCUUUUGUUGGGAAAGAAAUCCAGCUGGCUAAUACCCGGUUGGGAUGACGGUACCCAAAGAAUAAGCACCGGCUAACUUCGUGCCAGCAGCCGCCGCGG